rnacentral:rRNA from 1 species
GAUGAACGCUGGCGGCGUGCCUAACACAUGCAAGUCGAACGGAGAUUACGGACGGAAGUUUUCGGAUGGAAGCCUGUACUUCUUAGUGGCGGACGGGUUAGUAACGCGUGGGCAACCUGCCCUAUACAGGGGGAUAGCAGCUGGAAACGGCUGGUAAGACCGCAUAAGUCGGUUAAAUCUCAUGAUUUGAUCGGGAAAUGAGCAAUCAGGUGUAGGAUGGGCCCGCGUCCGAUUAGCCAGUUGGCAGGGUAAAAGCCUACCAAAGCGACGAUCGGUAGCCGGACUGAGAGGUCGGACGGCCACAUUGGGACUGAGACACGGCCCAAACUCCUACGGGAGGCAGCAGUGGGGGAUAUUGCACAAUGGAGGAAACUCUGAUGCAGCGACGCCGCGUGAGUGAAGAAGUAUUUCGGUAUGUAAAGCUCUAUCAGCAGGGAAGAUGAUGACGGUACCUGACUAAGAAGCCCCGGCUAACUACGUG